UACGUAGGGUCCGAGCGUUGUCCGGAAUUACUGGGCGUAAAGAGCUCGUAGGUGGUUUGUCGCGUUGUCCGUGAAAACUCACAGCUCAACUGUGGGCGUGCGGGCGAUACGGGCAGACUGGAGUACUGCAGGGGAGACUGGAAUUCCUGGUGUAGCGGUGGAAUGCGCAGAUAUCAGGAGGAACACCGGUGGCGAAGGCGGGUCUCUGGGCCGAUACUGACGCUGAGGAGCGAAAGCGUGGGGAGCGAACAGG
rnacentral:rRNA from 1 species